rnacentral:lncRNA from 1 species
GGGCUGGUUCCCCAUGCUAUUGUCUUGGUUCAUCUCGAACGUCAAUGCCCUUGAUUGGCAGCAUUUCUAUCAAUUUUUUUGCUUUAAAGGUGCAACAUAGCAUUAUUGAGCAAGUACUCGGUCACCUCAGACUUGUCCUACACCUUAGGUGGGGAAAUCUCAUCAACAAGUGGUAGGUAAAAAUGAUGGCAUGCAAAGUGUUUAGGCC